rnacentral:rRNA from 1 species
GAUCCUGGCUCAGGAUGAACGCUGGCGGCGUGCCUAACACAUGCAAGUCGAGCGAGAAAUCUUGGAAUGAGACUUCGGUUAAGUGAAGAGAUGGAAAGCGGCGGACGGGUGAGUAACGCGUAGGCAACCUGCCUUAUGCAGAGGGAUAGCCAUUGGAAACGAUGAUUAAACCUCAUAAUGCCUAUUUUAUCACAUGGUGAGAUGGUACAAAGUAUUUAUCGGCAUAAGAG